rnacentral:rRNA from 1 species
ACUCUUUGGACGUCGACCGGCGCACGGGUGAGUAACGCGUAUCCAACCUUCCCAUUACUGUGGGAUAACCUGCCGAAAGGCAGACUAAUACCGCAUAGUCUUCGAUGACGGCAUCAGAUUUGAAGUAAAGAUUUAUCGGUAAUGGAUGGGGAUGCGUCUGAUUAGCUUGUUGGCGGGGUAACGGCCCACCAAGGCAACGAUCAGUAGGGGUUCUGUGAGGAAGGUCCCCCACAUUGGAACUGAGACACGGUCCAAACUCCUACGGGAGGCAGCAGUGAGGAAUAUUGGUCAAUGGACGGAAGUCUGAACCAGCCAAGUAGCGUGCAGGAUGACGGCCCUAUGGGUUGUAAACUGCUUUUGUAUGGGGAUAAAGUUAGGGACGUGUCCCUAUUUGCAGGUACCAUACGAAUAAGGACCGGCUAAUUCCGUGCCAGCAUCCGCGGUAAUACGGAAGGUCCAGGCGUUAUCCGGAUUUAUUGGGUUUAAAGGGAGCGUAGGCUGGAGAUUAAGUGUGUUGUGAAAUGUAGACGCUCAACGUCUGAAUUGCAGCGCAUACUGGUUUCCUUGAGUACGCACAACGUUGGCGGAAUUCGUCGUGUACCGGUGAAAUGCUUAGAUAUGACGAAGAACUCCGAUUGCGAAGGCAGCUGACGGGAGCGCAACUGACGCUUAAGCUCGAAGGUGCGGGUAUCAAACAGGAUUAGAUACCCUGGUAGUCCGCACAGUAAACGAUGGAUGCCCGCUGUUGGUACCUGGUAUCAGCGGCUAAGCGAAAGCAUUAAGCAUCCCACCUGGGG